GUCUAGAAUUAAUUGCUUAGCAUAACUUGCUUAGCAUUAGUAGCUAAAUUUGCUGAAGCCUUAGGCCUCAGGCUGUGAACUUUUACUUAGAUAAGUAAAAGGGGGCCCCAGGGCCUGUUCAAGCUGAAGAGAUAAAGUUGCACGGACGGCAGGAGUAGCCAACCUUGAAGAUAAGAAGUAGCCUGCCUAGAGACAAUGAAGGGGCCCAGUGAAGAAGGGGAAGAACCCAGACCUAACUAUUACUAUUGGUCCAAACUAUCGCUUAAGGGGUGGGGAAUUUAGAUUGUAAGGGUAUAAUUGCCCAGGGAUUUCUUUGUUCGGGGUCCCUCUUUGGAGGCACCCAGCUCGAGCUGUAAUUACUGCACGUGUAUCAUUAAAUUUUAUUUCUCUCCAAUCUGACUUCGAACUUCUGCCUCAGCAGGAACCUAGGGUUGGACCCUGUUAUGGAGGCCGGCGAGCCUGAUUUUCCAUAACAUAAUGAUCUCUCUGUGAUUUAGAGGCUUCUGCUGUAUUAUAUCAAAGAAGAGGAGACCCUAUAUGCUGGAAUUGGGAUAGAAGCCAGCAGGGAAGUUUAAACCUUGGAAAAAUUUCAGAGUUGCCACUUUUUCCUACGUGUAAUGACAGAGGACAUAUUACUGCAUAUUUGCACAACUUAUUCACUAGCUGAAUACCAUCUUGUGAAAACUGUGCCUUCACUUUUGGAGAGCUUGACUCAAGGUGGGCGGGAAAAGAAAGGCUUCUCUGAAUCUACUGUGCCAAGCACAAGGUCUUGCCCUUUAUCUUCAAGCUCAGGAUAUCCGAAAAAUUGCUUACUGCUUCAGCACAAAGUCUAUAAAUUAUGGCUCCAUUUGUCAUGAGUUAUGGAUGAUUCUUCUGUGCUGGGACGUUUUUCCAUGCAGGUGACAGAGCUAUCUCAGAGUCCAGGCUGAAACUGGGCAAUGAGUUCCCUGUAGUGCUUAGAUUUGUCUCAGACUUUCCCCUUCUCCGUGCCAGAUGAAAGAUGCCUUUUUUUUUAAUCUGCCUUCUCCACUACCGAUACAGGGAAUAGGUGUACGCAGGAGAUAUUCCACCAGGCAGCCCUGUGGAGUUUUCUGCAGAAAUUGCCUCAAGAAGUUGACCCAGGGCAGUAUUAUUGGAUUUUACUGAAAAACCACUGAAAGAAAACAGAAGGUUAUUUUUAUCAUAUUAAUUUUAAAAUCACUUGAAAAACAUUGCUAUGAACCCCAGUUAACAAAAAGUCAAAGACACAGUGCUAUUGCACAAAUAUAUCAGGCUUUAAAUGUUACCUUGAGUUAAAAAUCUGCUUGCACUAAUCUGUGGUCAUUCUAUAAUCAGUUCCUAAUAGAGGAAUAAUGCUAGCAGAAAAAAUCACAUAGCUAAGUAUAAAAGUUUUAUAUAAUCUCCUUCCAUAAGUCUAAAAAUCUUAAGCAGUAGAAUAUAAUAUGAGCCUCAUCUUUUUAUAUGUUUCCUUCUUUUCGCUUAAUUUCUAGGACUUCAGUUGAGAAUUAAACACUUUCUUUGGUUCAGAUAUGUGUUCCUUCCCAUUAUGUUGUUUGUUCAGGGUGACUGUGGUGAGAUUGAUGUUGAGUGAUCGGAGUGAAAUCAAUGAUGUGAUUUAUUAGCCACUUCUAGAA
rnacentral:lncRNA from 1 species